rnacentral:rRNA from 1 species
UACGUAGGGGGCAAGCGUUGUCCGGAAUCAUUGGGCGUAAAGCGCGUGUAGGCGGCUGAGUAAGUCUGCUCUGAAAGCCCGGGGCUCAACCCCGGGAGGCGGGUGGAUACUGCUCAGCUCGAGUCCGGAAGAGGAGUGUGGAAUUCCUGGUGUAGCGGUGAAAUGCGCAGAUAUCAGGAAGAACACCCGUGGCGAAGGCGGUUCUCUGGAACGCAACUGACGCUGAGACGCGAAAGCGUGGGGAGCAAACAGG